UGUAAAUGUUAUCGUUGUGUGUUGGAACUGUCAACUAGGGCUGCGACACUUUUUGAAAAGACGCGUUUAUUGUUUAUUUUGUUUUACAUGUGUAAAAAACAACAGAAUGUUUGAGAAGUAGUUAUAAAACCGUGAACCAAUUAGAUUGUUGCUAGAAAUGGAUUCUACUGUUCAGCAGUGUAUCGUUUAUGAAGCUGAUUCAUGGAAUUCUUUGUCUGAAGCAAUUGAAAAGAUACUGCAAAAUAAACCGAUUGGUUGGGUAUCAUUUGAGCAGAUGUACGCCAUUGUAUAUAAAUGUGUAUGUAGUGGAUCUGCAGAGAAGAUGCAUGGUGAUCUCCUAGAGCUCUGUUCUAAACAUUUAGAUGAAGUGGAACAAACCUUAAGGGAGAAGAAGACAGCUCAUUUUCAAAAUCAUGAUGAUGACUCUGUGAGCUUUGUUCUCUCGUUUCGUGAUGCGUUAGAACUGUACCUGAAUGCUGUUCCCCAGAUAACACCUAUAUUUGGAUUCAUGAAUAAGUUCUUUGUUGAAAUGAGACUCCAAACUACAUUGCAGAAUGAAUUGCUGGACCUUUUCAGAGUGCGAGUAGCCAACAAACAUAUAGAUACUCUAAUGAACAGUGUACGAGAUCUGUUAUCAAGGCCAUUUGCAGUGGAUCCUUCUGUACUAUUAGGACUGUUUGUACGGCUGCAUUCUUUGGGCCAUGGUGAUUAUGCACUGGCUUAUCCAGAUCUCUUUGCUCGAUACAUUCCUUGUGUGCUACCACCAAUGCAAGAAAGUGAUCUGGAAAGGCAUGUGACUGAAACAAAAGUUAUGCAGGAUCAGAUGCGUAUAGUACAACUCUCAGAAUCAGCUACUACCAUGCGGGGCAGUAAGCGUCGUGGGGAUGAUGAAAGUUAUGGUCCAUCUGCUGGUGUAGGUGCUACAGCCGUACAGGCUGGAACACCACAGCUCUACAACUAGACUGAUUGGAACCUUGGGUUUGAAAACUGUAGUUAAUCAAAACCAUUCCAGGCCAAUUUCAUUCUACUGUUGUCAUUUAUCCACAUGUCUUCAGCUGCUCUAGUUAUAAAUUUGAAGAUAGAAUGGAGCUUCAAAUUUUAGCAUGGAGUUAAAGGAAGCACUACAGCCAGUAUGAAAUCAUCAGAAUCAAUUAGGAAAUACUUUCCCCGUCUGCUCAAUUACAGUGCCUGAAUACUUAAUUAUAAUUGCUGGCUACAAAAUCUAAGCAAACAAAGGGAUUGCUAGUAACUCAUUGGAGCAUGUGAAUAUUGGAAAACACAGUAUACAAUAACAUUGAGUUGAACCUAUCAACAUGAGAACAGUGAGCAAUUGCAUCUAUCUUCCAUUUUCCUACAUGUUACCAGCACCACAAGAAGUGAGGAUGAGGAAUGAGCAGUUUCUCUCCUGAACAACAGUGUCUGUUCCAGAUUGUAAAGAAAUGUCUGAGAGGAAACUGAACCCAGAGGGAGUGGCAGAGAAGAGAGGGGUGUGUGUGUGUGUGUGUGUGUGUGUGUGUGUGUGUGUGUGUGUGUGUGUGUGUGUGUGUUUUACUGUUGUGUUUGUUUGGUAUUGUAUGCACAUGAAUAAUAUUCUUAAUUGACAACAUUUUUGUUAAGUAACUCGCAUAAAAAAUUGUGAAUGAUGAAAAAUGAUUAUGUGAAAGUUGUCUUCAUUUAUUAUACAAAGAUUGUAUUAAUGUACACAUCUGACUGGAAACAAUCAUUGUUGAAAUUCAGUUUGAAGUGAAUUUAAAAUUAGCCCAGUUUUUUUGAAAUAUACGUUGAUUGACUGAGUGAUGCGCUGACUUGUAUAACAGAUGAAGACAUCUUUUUAAUGACCAUUUUCAAUUCUUAAAAAAUGCACUCGGUGUUAUUCUCUGUUUUGUUUUUAUUGACAUCAUUGUAUUUUCAGUUCACAGUAAAAUAUUUAUCUCCAUGUCACCAAAAUAAAUGAAAAGUUAUAUAA